CAGGACACGUUGCGCAUUCUUGCCACUGUACAACCAAUCAAGUAGGACCAUGUCAUGAGUAUGCCAAUUUCCAUUGGACACCAUAGGGUGAAGCUACCGUAAGAGACUAGAGGUGGCAACACUACAGGUGUUCACUUUAACAGAGACCAUGGAUGUGCAGUCUUCCUUAAUGGAUAUCUUAAACGAUCCAAAACUUAAGAAUUGUUUCAAAGCCGUUUUGGCUUUGGUUUGUCUUAGGAAAUCGCUGGCGCCUUUCCUCAAUAAGGAAUUUGAAAAGUUUUACAGCAAACUGCAAAAUGAAUGCGGCGUGGAUCCGUGUGGCCAGAACUGUGACUUUAAGAGCUGGAAUCCAAGACUAAACGAGAUGCCUCCUUUAGAUUGUGAGGUGUGUCGUCCUUGGAUGGAGGCGAUAUUGGCCAACCAUACCAGUCAGCGAGG